rnacentral:rRNA from 1 species
GGGUUGUGAGGUUAAGCGACUAAGCGUACACGGUGGAUGCCCUGGCAGUCAGAGGCGAUGAAGGACGUGCUAAUCUGCGAUAAGCGUCGGUAAGGUGAUAUGAACCGUUAUAACCGGCGAUUUCCGAAUGGGGAAACCCAGUGUGUUUCGACACACUAUCAUUAACUGAAUCCAUAGGUUAAUGAGGCGAACCGGGGGAACUGAAACAUCUAAGUACCCCGAGGAAAAGAAAUCAACCGAGAUUCCCCCAGUAGCGGCGAGCGAACGGGGAGCAGCCCAGAGCCUGAAUCAGUAUGUGUGUUAGUGGAAGCGUCUGGAAAGGCGCGCGAUACAGGGUGACAGCCCCGUACACAAAAAUGCACAUAUUGUGAGCUCGAUGAGUAGGGCGGGACACGUGGUAUCCUGUCUGAAUAUGGGGGGACCAUCCUCCAAGGCUAAAUACUCCUGACUGACCGAUAGUGAACCAGUACCGUGAGGGAAAGGCGAAAAGAACCCCGGCGAGGGGAGUGAAAAAGAACCUGAAACCGUGUACGUACAAGCAGUGGGAGCACGCUUAGGCGUGUGACUGCGUACCUUUUGUAUAAUGGGUCAGCGACUUAUAUUCUGUAGCAAGGUUAACCGAAUAGGGGAGCCGAAGGGAAACCGAGUCUUAACUGGGCGUUAAGUUGCAGGGUAUAGACCCGAAACCCGGUGAUCUAGCCAUGGGCAGGUUGAAGGUUGGGUAACACUAACUGGAGGACCGAACCGACUAAUGUUGAAAAAUUAGCGGAUGACUUGUGGCUGGGGGUGAAAGGCCAAUCAAACCGGGAGAUAGCUGGUUCUCCCCGAAAGCUAUUUAGGUAGCGCCUCGUGAAUUCAUCUCCGGGGGUAGAGCACUGUUUCGGCAAGGGGGUCAUCCCGACUUACCAACCCGAUGCAAACUGCGAAUACCGGAGAAUGUUAUCACGGGAGACACACGGCGGGUGCUAACGUCCGUCGUGAAGAGGGAAACAACCCAGACCGCCAGCUAAGGUCCCAAAGUCAUGGUUAAGUGGGAAACGAUGUGGGAAGGCCCAGACAGCCAGGAUGUUGGCUUAGAAGCAGCCAUCAUUUAAAGAAAGCGUAAUAGCUCACUGGUCGAGUCGGCCUGCGCGGAAGAUGUAACGGGGCUAAACCAUGCACCGAAGCUGCGGCAGCGACGCUUAUGCGUUGUUGGGUAGGGGAGCGUUCUGUAAGCCUGUGAAGGUGUGCUGUGAGGCAUGCUGGAGGUAUCAGAAGUGCGAAUGCUGACAUAAGUAACGAUAAAGCGGGUGAAAAGCCCGCUCGCCGGAAGACCAAGGGUUCCUGUCCAACGUUAAUCGGGGCAGGGUGAGUCGACCCCUAAGGCGAGGCCGAAAGGCGUAGUCGAUGGGAAACAGGUUAAUAUUCCUGUACUUGGUGUUACUGCGAAGGGGGGACGGAGAAGGCUAUGUUGGCCGGGCGACGGUUGUCCCGGUUUAAGCGUGUAGGCUGGUUUUCCAGGCAAAUCCGGAAAAUCAAGGCUGAGGCGUGAUGACGAGGCACUACGGUGCUGAAGCAACAAAUGCCCUGCUUCCAGGAAAAGCCUCUAAGCAUCAGGUAACAUCAAAUCGUACCCCAAACCGACACAGGUGGUCAGGUAGAGAAUACCAAGGCGCUUGAGAGAACUCGGGUGAAGGAACUAGGCAAAAUGGUGCCGUAACUUCGGGAGAAGGCACGCUGAUAUGUAGGUGAAGUCCCUCGCGGAUGGAGCUGAAAUCAGUCGAAGAUACCAGCUGGCUGCAACUGUUUAUUAAAAACACAGCACUGUGCAAACACGAAAGUGGACGUAUACGGUGUGACGCCUGCCCGGUGCCGGAAGGUUAAUUGAUGGGGUUAGCCGCAAGGCGAAGCUCUUGAUCGAAGCCCCGGUAAACGGCGGCCGUAACUAUAACGGUCCUAAGGUAGCGAAAUUCCUUGUCGGGUAAGUUCCGACCUGCACGAAUGGCGUAAUGAUGGCCAGGCUGUCUCCACCCGAGACUCAGUGAAAUUGAACUCGCUGUGAAGAUGCAGUGUACCCGCGGCAAGACGGAAAGACCCCGUGAACCUUUACUAUAGCUUGACACUGAACAUUGAGCCUUGAUGUGUAGGAUAGGUGGGAGGCUUUGAAGUGUGGACGCCAGUCUGCAUGGAGCCGACCUUGAAAUACCACCCUUUAAUGUUUGAUGUUCUAACGUUGACCCGUAAUCCGGGUUGCGGACAGUGUCUGGUGGGUAGUUUGACUGGGGCGGUCUCCUCCUAAAGAGUAACGGAGGAGCACGAAGGUUGGCUAAUCCUGGUCGGACAUCAGGAGGUUAGUGCAAUGGCAUAAGCCAGCUUGACUGCGAGCGUGACGGCGCGAGCAGGUGCGAAAGCAGGUCAUAGUGAUCCGGUGGUUCUGAAUGGAAGGGCCAUCGCUCAACGGAUAAAAGGUACUCCGGGGAUAACAGGCUGAUACCGCCCAAGAGUUCAUAUCGACGGCGGUGUUUGGCACCUCGAUGUCGGCUCAUCACAUCCUGGGGCUGAAGUAGGUCCCAAGGGUAUGGCUGUUCGCCAUUUAAAGUGGUACGCGAGCUGGGUUUAGAACGUCGUGAGACAGUUCGGUCCCUAUCUGCCGUGGGCGCUGGAGAACUGAGGGGGGCUGCUCCUAGUACGAGAGGACCGGAGUGGACGCAUCACUGGUGUUCGGGUUGUCAUGCCAAUGGCACUGCCCGGUAGCUAAAUGCGGAAGAGAUAAGUGCUGAAAGCAUCUAAGCACGAAACUUGCCCCGAGAUGAGUUCUCCCUGACUCCUUGAGAGUCCUGAAGGAACGUUGAAGACGACGACGUUGAUAGGCCGGGUGUGUAAGCGCAGCGAUGCGUUGAGCUAACCGGUACUAAUGAACCGUGAGGCUUAACCUUACAACGCCGAAGGUGUUU